rnacentral:rRNA from 1 species
UACAGAGGGGGCAAGCGUUAUUCGGAAUUAUUGGGCGUAAAGGGCGCGUAGGCGGCUUGGCAAGUGGGUGGUGAAAUCCCUCGGCUUAACCGAGGAACUGCCGUCCAAACUGCUUUGCUUGAGGCCGGGAGAGGCGAGUGGAAUUCCCAGUGUAGCGGUGAAAUGCGUAGAUAUUGGGAGGAACACCAGUGGCGAAGGCGGCUCGCUGGACCGGUUCUGACGCUGAUGCGCGAAAGCGUGGGGAGCAAACGGG